GCGGACGGGUGAGUAACACGUGGGCAACCUGCCUGUAAGACUGGGAUAACUUCGGGAAACGAAGCUAAUACCGGAUAGGAUCUUCUCCUUCAUGGGAGAUGAUUGAAAGAUGGUUUCGGCUAUCACUUACAGAUGGGCCCGCGGUGCAUUAGCUAGUUGGUGAGGUAACGGCUCACCAAGCAACGAUGCAUAGCCGACCUGAGAGGGUGAUCGGCCACACUGGGACUGAGACACGGCCCAGACUCCUACGGGAGGCAGCAGUAGGGAAUCUUCCGCAAUGGACGAAAGUCUGACGGAGCAACGCCGCGUGAGUGAUGAGGCUUUCGGGUCGUAAAACUCUGUUGUUAGGGAAGAACAAGUACAAGAGUAACUGCUUGUACCUUGACGGUACCUAACCAGAAAGCCACGGCUAACUACGUGCCAGCAGCCGCGGUAAUACGUAGGUGGCAAGCGUUAUCCGGAAUUAUUGGGCGUAAAGCGCGCGCAGGCGGUUUCUUAAGUCUGAUGUGAAAGCCCACGGCUCAACCGUGGAGGGUCAUUGGAAACUGGGGAACUUGAGUGCAGAAGAGAAAAGCGGAAUUCCACGUGUAGCGGUGAAAUGCGUAGAGAUGUGGAGGAACACCAGUGGCGAAGGCGGCUUUUUGGUCUGUAACUGACGCUGAGGCGCGAAAGCGUGGGGAGCAAACAGGAUUAGAUACCUGGUAGUCCACGCCGUAAACGAU
rnacentral:rRNA from 1 species